AUGGAGUUAUACAAAAAUUUAUUACAAAAAAUGUCGACUUUCAAGCUGGUUUCUUAUGAUUUCAAUCGCAAGUUAUUCGAAAAAAAAUCAUUUAAAUUUUAAAGAUUUAUCUAUCGUUUUAUUUGAGUAUUUCAAGUUGAUCCAGCGUUAACUGUAACUAUUU
ensembl:ncRNA F15A2.11 ncRNA